GACGAACCGUGCGAACGUUAUUCGGAAUCACUGGGCUUAAAGCGCGUGUAGGCGGGACGGCACGUCGGUCGCUGAAAGCCCCCGGCUCAACCGGGGAACGGGCGCCGAUACGACCGUCCUGGAGGGACGUAGGGGGACCUGGAACAUCCGGUGGAGCGGUGAAAUGCGUUGAGAUCGGAUGGAACGCCCGUGGCGAAAGCGAGGUCCUGGACGUUUUCUGACGCUGAGACGCGAAAGCCGGGGGAGCGAACGGG
rnacentral:rRNA from 1 species